rnacentral:rRNA from 1 species
ACUGAACGCUGGCGGCAGGCCUAACACAUGCAAGUCGAGCGGAAACGAUCCUAGCUUGCUAGGAGGCGUCGAGCGGCGGACGGGUGAGUAACGCGUGAGAAUCUACCCAUGAGUGGGGGACAACCCGGGGGAAACUCGGGCUAAUACCGCAUACGCCCUACGGGGUAAAGCAGGGGACCUUCGGGCCUUGCGCUGAUGGAUGAGCUCGCGUCGGAUUAGCUUGUUGGUGAGGUAAAGGCUCACCAAGGCGACGAUCCGUAGCUGGUCUGAGAGGAUGAUCAGCCACACCGGGACUGAGACACGGCCCGGACUCCUACGGGAGGCAGCAGUGGGGAAUCUUGGACAAUGGGGGCAACCCUGAUCCAGCCAUGCCGCGUGUGUGAAGAAGGCCUUCGGGUUGUAAAGCACUUUCAGCAGGGAGGAAGGCUUACCCCUAAUACGGGUGAGUACUUGACGUUACCUGCAGAAGAAGCACCGGCUAAUUUCGUG